UACUUUCCACCCUUUUGGAUCCAAGGUACAAGGCCAAUGUUCUGUCUGCAGCCACACGGGACCCAGUACAGAUGUGGAUACAGGAGGAACACUCGUUGUUGUCUGCUGUCUCCCCACAUGCGUCCACCAGCUCUGACCAUGAUGAUGCAACCCAGCCGAAACAAAAGAGAGUGGCUGCUGAGGUGGAAGAAAGACCAAGGCCUGGACUAGUUGAGCAAAUGUUUGCAAAUAUUCUGCAAACAACAUCUCCCGAUGAGACUGCACAAGAGUCUGACAUCUCAUCCCAGCUUGAUCAGUACCUGCAUGAGCCACUGAUAGAUCGAAAGACUGGUAACCCUUUGGAAUGGUGGCAACACAAUGCCGUUCGAUUCAAUCUACUUGCACCCAUUGCCCAAAAGUUUCUGUCUGCACCCCCUUCGUCAGUUCCCAGUGAAAGGGUUUUUAGUGAAGUGGGAAAUAUUUACACUACAAAAAGGAACAGGCUCACAGGAGAAAAUGCUGAAAGACUGUGUUUUUUGCAUUACAAUCUUCCUCUUCUAAAAUGGGAGUAUUAAGGAAAGUGUCAGAUCCAACAAAACACUGUUUACAUGCACAGUUCUUUAAAAUCUUGGUAGUGUAAGUAGCACACUGCAAAUAAGUUUGUUUUUUCAUAAAUGUUUCAACUUUGCAACUGUUUACAUAUUUAUUCUUUAUAUUUGUGUGAUGCUUCACUUUUUCCAUGUUGCAUAAAUAUGAACAAAGGAUUUGUUAAGGCACUGAGGACAGUUGAUCCAAAGACUGAAGGUUAAUGUCCAUUUUAUUUUUAACUCUGGUAUUUUAUUUUGUGUUUUAUUUUGUGUAAUGUGUAUAUUUGUGUUUAUUUAUUUCUAAUGCCAAACUGCACUACAUUUUUAUUUAUAUUUUAGAAGUGUUCAUUUUAUUGUGUGAUAACAUUAAUCAUUGAUACUGAGCAAUUUGCACUGAAGCCACUUUUCAAUUUACAGUUUUACAGUUUGAUUUGUUUACAAAAUCUCACUCAGGUUACGUUUUGAUAUUGUAUUUUUUGUGUGCAAUUUAAAGUUUUAUUGUGUGAUAACAUUAAUCUUUGAUACUGAGCAAUUUGCACUGAAGCCACUUUUCAAUUUACAGUUUUACAGUUUGAUUUGUUUACAAAAUCUCACUCAGGUUACGUUUUGAUAUUGUAUUUUUCUGUGUGCAAUUUAAAGUUAAAUAAAUGUUAAGAGUUCUACUA